UUGCACAGAUGAACAUGCACAGUUAUCCUGCUGGUCACUAGUGUUGAAAAUAGUCUAUGCUGGAUCUU
rnacentral:lncRNA from 15 species